rnacentral:rRNA from 1 species
AGUGAACGCUGGCGGUAGGCCUAACACAUGCAAGUCGAACGGCAGCACAGUAAGAGCUUGCUCUUACGGGUGGCGAGUGGCGGACGGGUGAGGAAUACAUCGGAAUCUACUUUUUCGUGGGGGAUAACGUAGGGACACUUACGCUAAUACCGCAUACGACCUACGGGGGAAAGCAGGGGAUCUUACGACAUUGCGCGAGUGAAUGAGCCGAUGUCGGAUUAGCUAGUUGGCGGGGUAAAGGCCCACCAAGGCGACGAUCCGUAGCUGGUCUGAGAGGAUGAUCAGUCACACUGGAACUGAGACACGGUCCAGACUCCUACGGGAGGCAGCAGUGGGGAAUAUUGGACAAAGGGCGCAAGCCUGAUCCAGCCAUACCGCGUGUGUGAAGAAGGCCUUCGGGUUGUAAAGCCCUUUUGUUGGGAAAGAAAAGCAGCAGGUUAAUACCCCGCUGUUCUGACGGUACCCAAAGAAUAAGCACCGGCUAACUUCGUG